rnacentral:lncRNA from 1 species
CACAAGACAAAAUAGUAUUUGACACGGCAAAUUAUUAUGCAAACUGUUAGAAAAAAAACUCAAGACAAAUUAAAAUUAACAGAGUUUAACUGAGCAAAAAACUAUUAACAAAUCAGGCAGCCCACAGAACCAAAAUAGGUUCAGAGCAGCUCUGGGACUACCACAUGGUCCAAUGACAGUUAUAGACAGAAGAAGGAAAGUGAAGUACAGAAAACAAAAGUGAGGUAUACAGCUUAGUGCUUGCCUUAUGUGAACACAGUUGGAACAGUUGGCUGCCUGUGAUUGGCUGAGACUCUACUACUUGUUACAAGAUCAGGUAAUAGUCUGUUUACACAUCCAGUUAGGUCACAGUUCACUAUGUGUGGAGAAACAUUUAGGCCAAAUUUAAAAUAUGUAAGGAGACAGCUUUAAGCUAAACUUAACAAGACAACGAAAAAUAGACUCUAAAAUUUCUGUGAGUCACUGCAAUUGCCAAUUCUUCCAGAAGGAAUUCCACCCAAGCUGAUUCAUUUAAAACACAGAUAACUCGUCAGAAGAUAGGUGUUACAAAGACUUUCAAGCCCAAGGAACUGCUGAAGAGACUGCAUCGAAGAUCCAGCAUCCAUAGUGUACUUCAUGGAAUCCAGACUGCGCCAACUGACAGCAAUAGAGAGGCCUCAGGAGAAGCUAAGGAUUUGCUAACUGUGAAGAAAAAGAUUAUGUGUUUCACAACACUGCAAGCCUCGAAACCACAGAAGCAGUGAGCAAGCUAACAUUUAUUCUAAAGAUAAACAUGAAAUCCAGUUUAUACCUCCAGGUCAACACUCUCAUCUGAUCUCAGAAGAAUUCAUCAUUUUUUGAGGACCUACUUUGUGCUAGGAACUUUAUGUAAAUGUGUUCUUUUAGUCUUUAUCACUCUGUAAUAUGUUAGUGUACUCAUUUAUCGGUGUAAUUCUAUGUAUAUAACUCAAUAAACUGAUAAUACAAAAAGAA